rnacentral:rRNA from 1 species
UACUGACGCUGAGGUACGAAAGCAUGGGGAGCAAACAGGAUUAGAUACCCUGGUAGUCCAUGCCGUAAACGAUGUCUACUAGCCGUUGGGGCCCUUGAGGCUUUAGUGGCGCAGCUAACGCGAUAAGUAGACCGCCUGGGGGAGUACGGUCGCAAGACUAAAACUCAAAUGAAUUGACGGGGGCCCGCACAAGCGGUGGAGCAUGUGGUUUAAUUCGAUGCAACGCGAAGAACCUUACCUGGCCUUGACAUACAGAGAACUUUCCAGAGAUGGAUUGGUGCCUUCGGGAACUCUGAUACAGGUGCUGCAUGGCUGUCGUCAGCUCGUGUCGUGAGAUGUUGGGUUAAGUCCCGCAACGAGCGCAACCCUUUUCCUUAUUUGCCAGCACUUCGGGUGGGAACUUUAAGGAUACUGCCAGUGACAAACUGGAGGAAGGCGGGGACGACGUCAAGUCAUCAUGGCCCUUACGGCCAGGGCUACACACGUGCUACAAUGGUCGGUACAAAGGGUUGCUACACAGCGAUGUGAUGC